rnacentral:rRNA from 1 species
AUGAACGCUGGCGGCGUGCCUAAUACAUGCAAGUCGCGCGAACAGACGAGGAGCUUGCUCCUCUGACGUUAGCGGCGGACGGGUGAGUAACACGUGGAUAACCUACCUAUAAGACUGGGAUAACUUCGGGAAACCGGAGCUAAUACCGGAUAAUAUAUUGAACCGCAUGGUUCAAUAGUGAAAGACGGUUUUGCUGUCACUUAUAGAUGGAUCCGCGCCGCAUUAGCUAGUUGGUAAGGUAACGGCUUACCAAGGCAACGAUGCGUAGCCGACCUGAGAGGGUGAUCGGCCACACUGGAACUGAGACACGGUCCAGACUCCUACGGGAGGCAGCAGUAGGGAAUCUUCCGCAAUGGGCGAAAGCCUGACGGAGCAACGCCGCGUGAGUGAUGAAGGUCUUCGGAUCGUAAAACUCUGUUAUUAGGGAAGAACAAAUGUGUAAGUAACUAUGCACGUCUUGGCGGUACCUAAUCAGAAAGCCACGGCUAACUACGU